UACAGAAGGUGCAAACGUUGCUCGGAAUUAUUGAACGUAAAGCGCACGUAGGCGACUCGUUAAGUCGGAUGUGAAAUCCCUCGGCUCAACCGAGGAAGUGCAUCCGAAACUGACGAGCUUGAGUAUGGAAGAGGGUCUCGGAAUUCCCAAUAUAGAGGUGAAAAUUCGUAGAUAUCGGGAGGAACACCAGUACGAAGCAAAGACCUGGACCAAUACUGACACUGAGGUGCAAAAGCGUGGGGAGCAAACAGG
rnacentral:rRNA from 1 species